CAGUCGCCGCGGGAAUACGGAGGGGGCUAGCGUUGUUCGGAAUUACUGGGCGUAAAGCGCACGUAGGCGGCUUGGUAAGUUAGAGGUGAAAGCCCGGAGCUCAACUCCGGAAUUGCCUUUAAGACUGCCGAGCUAGCAGGUGAGAGAGGUAAGUGGAAUUCCGAGUGUAGAGGUGAAAUUCGUAGAUAUUCGGAAGAACACCAGUGGCGAAGGCGGCUUACUGGCUCAUACUGGACGCUGAGGUGCGAAAGCGUGGGGAGCAAACAGGAUUAGAUACCCGGGUAGUCCCUGUCUCUUAUAC
rnacentral:rRNA from 1 species